GAUGAACGCUAGCGGCAGGCUUAAUACAUGCAAGUCGAACGGCAGCACAGUGUAGCAAUACAUGGGUGGCGAGUGGCGCACGGGUGCGUAACACGUAUGCAAUUUGCCCAUAACUGGGGGAGUAGCCCUCCGAAAGGAGGAUUAAUACCCCACUAACCCACGCGAGGUGGCAUCACUUUUCUUGGUAAAUCUCCGGAGGUUAUGGAUGAGCAUGCGUCCGAUUAGCUAGUUGG
rnacentral:rRNA from 1 species